UGGGGAAUAUUGCACAAUGGGCGCAAGCCUGAUGCAGCCAUGCCGCGUGUAUGAAGAAGGCCUUCGGGUUGUAAAGUACUUUCAGCGGGGAGGAAGGUGUUGUGGUUAAUAACCACAGCAAUUGACGUUACCCGCAGAAGAAGCACCGGCUAACUCCGUGCCAGCAGCCGCGGGAAUACGGAGGGUGCAAGCGUUAAUCGGAAUUAAUGGGCGUAAAGCGCACGCAGGCGGUCUGUCAAGUCGGAUGUGAAAUCCCCGGGCUCAACCUGGGAACUGCAUCCGAAACUGGCAGGCUUGAGUCUUGUAGAGGGGGGUAGAAUUCCAGGUGUAGCGGUGAAAUGCGUAGAGAUCUGGAGGAAUACCGGUGGCGAAGGCGGCCCCCUGGACAAAGACUGACGCUCAGGUGCGAAAGCGUGGGGAGCAAACA
rnacentral:rRNA from 1 species